rnacentral:rRNA from 1 species
AACGAACGCUGGCGGCAGGCUUAACACAUGCAAGUCGAGCGCCCCGCAAGGGGAGCGGCAGACGGGUGAGUAACGCGUGGGAAUCUACCCAUCUCUACGGAAUAACGCAUGGAAACGUGUGCUAAUACCGUAUACGUCCUUCGGGAGAAAGAUUUAUCGGAGAUGGAUGAGCCCGCGUUGGAUUAGCUAGUUGGUGGGGUAAAGGCCUACAAAGGCGACGAUCCAUAGCUGGUCUGAGAGGAUGAUCAGCCACACAGGGACUGAGACAUGGCCCAGACUCCUACGGGAGGCAGCAGUGGGGAAUAUUGGACAAUGGGCGCAAGCCUGAUCCAGCCAUGCCGCGUGAGUGAUGAAGGCCCUAGGGUUGUAAAGCUCUUUCACCGGUGAAGAUAAUGACGGUAACCGGAGAAGAAGCCCCGGCUAACUUCGUGCCAGCCGCCGCCGUAACAC